AGAGUUUGAUCCUGGCUCAGGAUGAACGCUAGCUACAGGCUUAACACAUGCAAGUCGAGGGGCAUCAGGAAGAAAGCUUGCUUUCUUUGCUGGCGACCGGCGCACGGGUGAGUAACACGUAUCCAACCUGCCCUUUACUCGGGGAUAGCCUUUCGAAAGAAAGAUUAAUACCCGAUGGCAUAAUGAUUCCGCAUGGUUUCAUUAUUAAAGGAUUCCGGUAAAGGAUGGGGAUGCGUUCCAUUAGGUUGUUGGUGAGGUAACGGCUCACCAAGCCUUCGAUGGAUAGGGGUUCUGAGAGGAAGGUCCCCCACAUUGGAACUGAGACACGGUCCAAACUCCUACGGGAGGCAGCAGUGAGGAAUAUUGGUCAAUGGACGCAAGUCUGAACCAGCCAUGCCGCGUGCGGGAAGGAGGCCCUAUGGGCUGUGAACCGCUUUUGCCUGGGGGCAAUAAGGGCGUCGCGCACGUCCGAUGAGAGUACCAGGGGAAUAAGCAUCGGCUAACUCCGUGCCAGCAGCCGCGGUAAUACGGAGGAUCCGAGCGUUAUCCGGAUUUAUUGGGUUUAAAGGGAGCGUAGGUGGACUGGUAAGUCAGUUGUGAAAGUUUGCGGCUCAACCGUAAAAUUGCAGUUGAUACUGUCAGUCUUGAGUACAGUAGAGGUGGGCGGAAUUCGUGGUGUAGCGGUGAAAUGCUUAGAUAUCACGAAGAACUCCGAUUGCGAAGGCAGCUCACUGGACUGCAACUGACACUGAUGCUCGAAAGUGUGGGUAUCAAACAGGAUUAGAUACCCUGGUAGUCCACACAGUAAACGAUGAAUACUCGCUGUUUGCGAUAUACAGUAAGCGGCCAAGCGAAAGCAUUAAGUAUUCCACCUGGGGAGUACGCCGGCAACGGUGAAACUCAAAGGAAUUGACGGGGGCCCGCACAAGCGGAGGAACAUGUGGUUUAAUUCGAUGAUACGCGAGGAACCUUACCCGGGCUUAAAUUGCAGUGGAAUGAUGUGGAAACAUGUCAGUGAGCAAUCACCGCUGUGAAGGUGCUGCAUGGUUGUCGUCAGCUCGUGCCGUGAGGUGUCGGCUUAAGUGCCAUAACGAGCGCAACCCUUAUCUUCAGUUACUAACAGGUCAUGCUGAGGACUCUGGAGAGACUGCCGUCGUAAGAUGUGAGGAAGGUGGGGAUGACGUCAAAUCAGCACGGCCCUUACGUCCGGGGCUACACACGUGUUACAAUGGGGGGUACAGAAGGCAGCUAGCGGGUGACCGUAUGCUAAUCCCAAAAUCCUCUCUCAGUUCGGAUCGAAGUCUGCAACCCGACUUCGUGAAGCUGGAUUCGCUAGUAAUCGCGCAUCAGCCAUGGCGCGGUGAAUACGUUCCCGGGCCUUGUACACACCGCCCGUCAAGCCAUGGGAGCCGGGGGUACCUGAAGUACGUAACCGCAAGGAUCGUCCUAGGGUAAAACUGGUGACUGGGGCUAAGUCGUAACAAGGUAGCCGUACCGGAAGGUGCGGCUG
rnacentral:rRNA from 1 species